GUGCGUAUAGCCCAGUUGGUAGAGCAUGAGACUCUUCAUCUCAAGGUCGUGGGUUCGAGCCCCAUGCUGGGCAAA